GUCGAUCGAGUAGCAAUACUAGAGGCGAACGGGUGAGUAACACGUAUCCAACCUUCCCUUUUGACUGGGAUAACUAAAAGAAAUUUUAGCUAAUACCGGAUGAUAUAUUUAGACGCAUGUCUUUAUAUUAAAAGUUGGGUUUCCAACACAUUAGGAUGGGGAUGCGCCACAUUAGCUAGUUGGUAGGGUAACGGCCUACCAAGGCAACGAUGUGUAGCUAUACUGAGAGGUAGAAUAGCCACAAUGGAACUGAAACACGGUCCAUACUCCUACGGGAGGCAGCAGUAGGGAAUUUUCCACAAUGGGGGCAACCCUGAUGGAGCAACGCCGCGUGAACGAUGAAGGUCUUCGGAUCGUAAAGUUCUUUUAUAAGGGAAGAAUACUAAAAGAAGGAAAUGUUUUUUAGUUGACGGUACUUUAUGAAUAAGUGACGGCAAACUAUGUGCCAGCAGCCGCGGUAAUACAUAGGUCACAAGCGUUAUCCGGAUUUAUUGGGUAUAAAACAAGCGCAGGCUGUCUAACAAGUUUAAAGUGAAAUAACAAGGCUUAACCUUGUUCUGCUUUAAAAACUGUUAGGCUAGAGUAUAUAAGAGAAUGGCGGAACUCCAUGUGUAGCGGUGGAAUGCGUAGAUAU
rnacentral:rRNA from 1 species